GGGGGAUUAGCUCAGCUGGAAGAGCGCUACGCUGGCAGCGUAGAGGUCACCGGUUCGAGCCCGGUAUCCUCCA
rnacentral:tRNA from 1 species